rnacentral:sRNA from 1 species
AUAAAUUGCUAUAGCAUUAGAUGUGUAACUGAUUGGCAUACCGCUUGAAUACCGAACACUAAAGGGAGCUAGUUCGAAUCUCUAUGUAGCUCCAGGUAAACAUUCAAUCUGUCAGUGCGUUUGGCAGGCGACACGGGGGCAAGGUAGUUCGAUUCGAAGCAAAUGCAUGGAGAUAGCAAACCAGCGAGUUAUGUGCUACAACAAAUGGCAUGAUGGUGGUGUGACUAGGCCGCGACUGCAGCAUUGGUAUUUGUCAAGUUCUUAUAGCAGUAGAGAAACAUGUCUCUAGGGCGCACGAAAAUUAUCAACCUUCACUGAGUGGUGAAAUAGAGGAAACAAGUCAAUGAAUGAAGCCAGUGGAAGAUGUGAGGAUUAGAGGAGACUGCCAGAGAGAGACCCGUGAGUUGAAAUUGUCGAAAGAUUGACACCUUGGGGUGAGUGCAAUACGAAGACAACUAAACGUAAGUAUCACGUGAACACAUGGUCAAAGCUGAUUGGUUGCUAAAUUUAUAAGCAUUUAAUGACAACGAGAAGUAUGAUUUGAAAGAGAAUUGCCUUCAGGGGAAAUACGUAUGAAAAGUAGUUAGCCUUUAUGUGCGGGAUGAGAGAGAGAGAGAGAUAGAGAGACUAACUCAGAGCAUUGAAAAGAAAGAUGUGUUGAUAUAAUGUGUGCAACCUAAGACCAGGUUUAAAAGGUUGGGCUGUAGUAUUUAAGAAAAGGAGGGUGGUUGUUAGGUUCGAACCUUAAAGUAUAAAUUAACACCCCCUCCCUUUCCAAAAACAAACAAAUUUGUACAUGUAUCCUUUACGCUUUAUACAACAGUGAUACACAAAAUAACACAACAGGAAAAUUAACAAAACAAAACUCCAUGGUCUUGAUCGCUAUUUGUGUAAGAUUAUUAAAACUAAAAAAUUCACAUACCAACAGUAAGGGCAUUAAUUACUCACAAAAUGAAUAAAAGUCUGGUUAUAUCCCUUAGACAUGUAUAAUAAUGGCUUUGAGCUACUUGUUGCAAGUGUGGGGUGUGGGGUGGUCUUUUUUUUAAAUUCUAUUUUCAGGUGAAAAAAGCCAAGUAAAGUCUUACAUGCAGACACUGUGCCUCUUGAUAGAACAUCCUCCAGGUAUCUGCGUCAGUUCCGGCAAGAAGAUCUACAAUCAUCGAAGAACAAACUGAAGUAACGGAUCGACUCAGCAGCAAGGACUACGCCAUAACUAUUCCUUGAGCUCCUAGAAAUUGUACAUGCCUAUAGUGUAGGAAUUAUAUAUAGAUCGAGUCCGAAGAUUGAUUAGUGCAAGCGACUACUAAUAUAUAUUCAAUCUGCUAAACAAACUAGUUAGCUUUACUUUUAGCCAACCUAUAUUGAGUGGUAAAAUCAGUGCGCAUAUUUAUACUUUGAUGAUUUAUAAUGAUUUAUAUCGAAGACAAUCUUUCACUAUUAUGGUCUUCUUAAAUUAAACAUUUGGUUAAAAGAUAAAGACAUAAAAUACGCGAUUUUUUACGAGUCUCAUUGUUCUAUUUUUAAUAAUUAUUUUUUUUUUUACAUUUUUUCUUCGAAAGGAGCUAAUUCACAAAGACUUCAAGUAAGACAAAAAAAAUAUAUAUA